UACGUAGGGUGCAAGCGUUGUCCGGAAUUAUUGGGCGUAAAGAGCUCGUAGGCGGUCUGUCGCGUCGAAUGUGAAAACCCGGGGCUCAACCCCGGGCCUGCAUUCGAUACGGGCAGACUAGAGUUCGGUAGGGGGAGUCUGGAAUUCCUGGUGUAGCGGUGAAAUGCGCAGAUAUCAGGAGGAACACCGGUGGCGAAGGCGGGACUCUGGGCCGAUACUGACGCUGAGGAGCGAAAGCGUGGGGAGCGAACAGG
rnacentral:rRNA from 1 species